GAUGAAGAACGUAGCGAAAUGCGGUAAGUAAUGUGAAUUGCAGAAUUCAGUGAAUCAUCGAGUCUUUGAACGCACAUUGCGCCCCCUGGUAUUCCGGGGGGCAUGCCUGUCCGAGCGUCAUUGCUGCCCUCAAGCACGGCUUGUGUGUUGGGCCCCCGUCCCCGGUUUCCCCCGGGGACGGGCCCGAAAGGCAGCGGCGGCACCGCGUCCGGUCCUCGAGCGUAUGGGGCUUUGUCACCCGCUCUGUAGGCCCGGCCGGCGCCAGCCGACACCCAACUUUAUUUCUAAGGUUGACCUCGGAUCAGGUAGGGAUACCCGCUGAACUUAAGCAUAUCAAUAAGCGGAGGA
rnacentral:misc_RNA from 1 species